UGAAAGUCGAUCGUGUGCGAGCUGAG
rnacentral:piRNA from 1 species